rnacentral:rRNA from 1 species
GGGUGGCGAGUGGCGGACGGGUGAGGAAUACAUCGGAAUCUACUCUGUCGUGGGGGAUAACGUAGGGAAACUUACGCUAAUACCGCAUACGACCUACGGGUGAAAGCAGGGGACCUUCGGGCCUUGCGCGAUUGAAUGAGCCGAUGUCGGAUUAGCUAGUUGGCGGGGUAAAGGCCCACCAAGGCGACGAUCCGUAGCUGGUCUGAGAGGAUGAUCAGCCACACUGGAACUGAGACACGGUCCAGACUCCUACGGGAGGCAGCAGUGGGGAAUAUUGGACAAUGGGCGCAAGCCUGAUCCAGCCAUACCGCGUGGGUGAAGAAGGCCUUCGGGUUGUAAAGCCCUUUUGUUGGGAAAGAAAUCCAGCUGGCUAAUACCCGGUUGGGAUGACGGUACCCAAAGAAUAAGCACCGGCUAACUUCGUGCCAGCAGCCGCGGUAAUACGAAGGGUGCAAGCGUUACUCGGAAUUACUGGGCGUAAAGCGUGCGUAGGUGGUCGUUUAAGUCCGUUGUGAAAGCCCUGGGCUCAACCUGGGAACUGCAGUGGAUACUGGGCGACUAGAGUGUGGUAGAGGGUAGCGGAAUUCCUGGUGUAGCAGUGAAAUGCGUAGAGAUCAGGAGGAACAUCCAUGGCGAAGGCAGC